AUCAAGUAUAUUAGUAAGAUGAACAGAGUAUAGAGACGUCUUUUUUUCUCGGUAACUUGUGUUACAGUGCCUGAAAGUGCAAUACCGAUGUAGAAAAAUUCUGCUGAAUUUCGUACUUUGUGCCUAUAGUAUUCUGAUUCUAUAUUACGCUACAAAAUUUCUUUCAGUGUAUCUUUAUCGAUUGUUUGUGUUAGCGGUCUAUUUUCAGAAGAACUGACUUCGACCUUGAAGUUGCAAUCGUCGUAACCCACGACGGUUAAUACAAAAUUUUUUUGGCCAAAAGUUGUGUAGUAACUGUAGUCCUACUGCUCAAAUUGCUUUCAGCAAACAUGUUCAUGCAUCCAGAACUUUUGCAUGUUCAGACUUAUAAGAAUGACCGUAGUUGGGAUUUUUUUACUGUCAGUUUUACAGGUAGUUAUGAAUUAAAGUGACAGAAUGCAGGCUUGUGAACAGUACAAUCUGUUUUUGCAUUGGAUGUUUCUGACUUUGUGAAAUGGAAAGCCAAGGAAGAGAAGACAGAAGUAGCAUUGUAACUUAUGGGUGUGCCUAGCCUGCGAUAGGUGGCACGAAAACCACAUAUAUGUGUCAUAGAUCUCCGAUAUUCAAGUCUCAAUCAAAAGGCGAGAGGCUGCUGAAGUCGCAAGAAAAUAACAAGAUGGGAAGCGAUCGCACUGCUGCCAUGAACAUCAGCCAAAAUAAAAAGAGGAAUUUUACUAUUGUUUAUUUCAAGACACAUUUUAGCCACAAACGGAAUGAAUAUUGUUUCUGUGCACCUAACCAGAUAUUAAAAGGCGUUCAUUGCUGGUGAUAUUGACUUGUGAGAAGAAUGGUUGAUGAAGCCAGUUACAUCCUGGAACAAUGAAUCGUUAACGGAUUUCAUGAACAACUGCACCCUGGGAAAAAGUUGCUUCGCAAGCCAUCACGGGAAAUUAACAUCCCAUUAACGAGUUUAUAACGACAUAUGCAAACAGAUUUCAACCUGCAUUAUAUGCACCAUGAACCGUGAGUCCGCGGUUUUAACUUCAGUUCAACAAUGAAUUAAGAAUUCAGCAUUUCCAUUUGUCCCUUUCUCUACCUUCUCCUCCUCCCUUAAUGAAUCACUGGCAACAAUUGCAGUCGUUAUUGUCUGAAGCAGCAAACUGAAGUGCAGGUUGCCAGUCCACACGCAUGCAAUCUUGUGACUGUAUUCUGUCAUCAGCUCUUCUGUACAUAGUGUAUUGCAGAAGAGUGGUGGAUGAUAAGCAGUUGUUGAAAUGGCUGGAUGAAGAGUUUGCUAACAAAGUUUGUAGUGAUGCAGAGUCAAUCUUCGAAACUGAUCACAAUUCUGAAAGUGAGCAGUUUCUGGACAUAAAUGACAUUAUCGAUAAAUUUGACUCACAUGUUGGGAAAGGUGGUAUGCAGGGCAGUCAUCGACCUCUGGUUCAAAACAGGUAUAUAUGCCAGCUUUGUUGUACUUCCAGAAGCUAGAAUUUCUAGGCAAGCAUUAUACAGGAGGUUACAAAAAGGUACGGCCAAACUUUCAGGAAACAUUCCUCACACACAAAUAAAGAAAAGAUGUUACGUGGGCGUGUGUCUGGAAACGCUUAAUUUCCAUGUUAGAGCUCAUUUUAGUUUCGUCAGUAUGUACUGUACUUCCUCGAUUCACCGCCAGUUGGCCCAAUUGAAGGAAGGUAAUGUUGACUUCGGUGCUUGUGUUGACAUGCGACUCAUUGUUCUACAGUACUAGCAUCAAGCACAUCAGUACGUAGCAUCAACAGGUUAGUGUUCAUCACGAACGUGGUUUUGCAGUCAGUGCAAUGUUUACAAAUGCGGAGUUGGCAGAUGCCCAUUUGAUGUAUGGAUUAGCACGGGGCAAUAGCCGUGGCGCGGUACGUUUGUAUCGAGACAGAUUUCCAGAACGAAGGUGUCCCGACAGGAAGACGUUCGAAGCAAUUGAUCGGCGUCUUAGGGAGCACGGAAUAUUCCAGCCUAUGAUUCGCGACUGGGGAAGACCUAGAACGACGAGGACACCUGCAAUGGACGAAGCAAUUCUUCGUGCAGUUGACGAUAACCCUAAUGUCAGCGUCAGAGAAGUUGCUGCUGUACAAAGCAACGUUGACCAUGUCACUGUAUGGAGAGUGCUACGGGAGAACCAGUUGUUUCCGUACCAUGUACAGCGUGUGCAGGCACUAUCAGCAGCUGAUUGGCCUCCACGGGUACACUUCUGUGAAUGGUUCAUCCAACAAUGUGUCAAUCCUCAUUUCAGUGCAAAUGUUCUCUUUACGGAUGAGGCUUCAUUCCAACGUGAUCAAAUUGUAAAUUUUCACAAUCAACAUGUGUGGGCUACUGAGAAUCCGCACGCAAUUGUGCAAUCACAUCAUCAACAGAUUUUCUGUGAACGUUUGGGCAGGCAUUCUACAUCUACAUCUACAUCCGUACUCCGCAAGCCACCUGACGGUGCCAAAUGUAGAGACUCUUCCUGCUCGUAUUGUGGACAGCUGUGAUACAAUACGCCAUUCUCGAGGGCUGCAUCAGGGAUUCCAUGUGACGGAGGGUGGAUGCGUGUAUUGUUGGUGAUGUCUUGAUUGGGCCCCAUGUUCUUCCACCUAUGCUCAAUGGAGCACGUUAUCAUGAUUUCAUACGGGAUACUCUACCUGUGCUGCUAGAACAUGUACCUUUACAAGUACGACACAACAUGUGGUUCAUGCACGAUGGAGCUCCUGCACAUUUCAGUCGAAGUGUUCAUACGCUUCUCAACAACAGAUUCGGUGACCGAUGGAUUGGUAGAGGCGGAUCAAUUCCAUGGCCUCCACGCUCUCCUCACCUCAGCCCUCUUGACUUUCAUUUAUGGGGGCAUUUGAGAGCUCUUGUCUACGCAAACCCUGGUGCCAAAUGUAGAGACUCUUCCUGCUCGUAUUGUGGACGGCUGUGAUACAAUACGCCAUUCUCGAGGGCUGCAUCAGGGAUUCCAUGUGACGGAGGGUGGAUGCGUGUAUCCUCGCUAAUGGAGGACAUUUUGAACAUUUCCUGUAACAAAGUGUUUGAAGUCACGCUGGUACAUUCUGUUGCUGUGUGUUUCCAUUCCAUGAUUAAUGUGAUUUGAAGAGAAGUAAUAAAAUGAGCUCUAACAUGGAAAGUAAGCAUUUCCGGACACAUGUCCACAUAACAUAUUUUCUUUUGCUGUGUGCGAGGAAUGUUUCCUGAAAGUUUGGCCGUACCUUUUUGUAACACCCUGUAUACCAUGUAAUAGUGUGACAAUACCAUUAUCGUCAUCCUGACCAUCAAUGGAUCACAGUUACAGUUUUCAGAUGAAAGCUCAAAUGAGAAUGAUGCUGUGGGACCUUCCGCAGGUAGUGGAAUACAUAUCACACAGCAGAGUGAUACAGACUUUGCAGAAGAAACAGACAUGGUAGUUGAAGAACCGUCACAAGCAACAACAUUGAGUGCAAACAGAGAGUACUACAUCAAGAUAUGCUACACCAAGGAAAAGAAAGUGAAGUGAAAAAGGGAGCUAUUAAAGUGCCCUUCAGUUGAUUGCUGAAAGACUGCAAUCCAAUACUAAUGUUGAUGCAGAUACAUUUGUUAAACAUUUGGGUGUAGAAAUGAAAGCCAUUAAAAGCCAUGAAAUGAGGAUGAUGAUUAACCGCAAAUACUAAAACUUGUGUAUGAUGCUGUAGUCAGUCAAUAAACAUGGAAAUUUCA